rnacentral:rRNA from 1 species
UCGAGGAUCUUCGGCAAUGGGCGCAAGCCUGACCGAGCGACGCCGCGUGUGCGACGAAGGCCUUCGGGUUGUAAAGCACUGUCGAGGGGGAGAAAAGCCCGAAAGGGCCUGAUCUAUCCCUGGAGGAAGCACGGGCUAAGUUCGUGCCAGCAGCCGCGGUAAGACGAACCGUGCGAACGUUGUUCGGAAUCACUGGGCUUAAAGGGCGCGUAGGCGGGCUGCCGCGUCCGUGGUGAAAUCCUCCGGCUUAACCGGAGUAGUGCCGCGGGUACGGGCGGUCUCGAGGCGGGUAGGGGCGUGCGGAACACUGGGUGGAGCGGUGAAAUGCGUUGAUAUCCAGUGGAACUCCGGUGGCGAAGGCGGCACGCUGGACCCGAUCUGACGCUGAGGCGCGAAAGCCAGGGGAGCGAACG